AAAAAAAAGGAGAAGAAAGAGGUACAUUCAAGGCCUCUGUCCUCAGGGGCAGAAUAUAAAUGAAAGACACAUUUAAAAUAAUGGGGGUGGGGUGGAGAGAUGAGUCAUGAGUCACACCACAGGAAAACCUCCACAUUUCAGAGGCCGUUCCAGAAUGAAGAUGUUCAAGCAAUGCUGCAAUGAAGAUUAUGUAGGAUCCCUAACUCACCAACUGAAGCAUAUUGAGAACUGAUUAUUACUUCCCGGGUUUGCUGUCCUGCAGGUCCAGACAACUCUUACUGGCAUACUGAGUU
rnacentral:lncRNA from 1 species